AACGAACGCUGGCGGCAGGCCUAACACAUGCAAGUCGAGCGGAGCCUUCGUGGUUAGCGGCGGACGGGUGAGUAACGCCUGGGAAUAUGCCCUUCUGUACGGAAUCGUCCUCGGAAACUGGGGGUAAUACCGCAUACGCUAUUUGCGGGUAGGAUUUAUCGGGGCAGGAUUAGGCCGCGUUGGGUUCGGUAGUUGGUGGGGUAAUGGCCUACCAAGCCGACGAUCCUUAGCUGGUGUGAGAGGAUGAUCAGCCACACUGGGACUGAGACACGGCCCAGACUCCUACGGGAGGCAGCAGUGGGGAAUCUUAGACAAUGGGGGCAACCCUGAUCUAGCCAUGCCGCGUGAGUGAUGAAGGCCUUAGGGUUGUAAAGCUCUUUCAGCUGGGAAGAUAAUGACGGUACCAGCAGAAGAAGCCCCGGCUAACUCCGUG
rnacentral:rRNA from 1 species